UGGGGAAUAUUGCACAAUGGGGGAAACCCUGAUGCAGCGACGCCGCGUGGAGGAAGAAGGUCUUCGGAUUGUAAACUCCUGUUGUUGAGGAAGAUAAUGACGGUACUCAACAAGGAAGUGACGGCUAACUACGUGCCAGCAGCCGCGGUAAAACGUAGGUCACAAGCGUUGUCCGGAAUUACUGGGUGUAAAGGGAGCGCAGGCGGGAAGACAAGUUGGAAGUGAAAUCCAUGGGCUCAACCCAUGAACUGCUUUCAAAACUGUUUUUCUUGAGUAGUGCAGAGGUAGGCGGAAUUCCCGGUGUAGCGGUGGAAUGCGUAGAUAUCGGGAGGAACACCAGUGGCGAAGGCGGCCUACUGGGCACCAACUGACGCUGAGGCUCGAAAGUGUGGGUAGCAAACAGGAUUAGAUACCCUGGUAGUCCACACCGUAAACGAUGAUUACUAGGUGUUGGAGGAUUGACCCCUUCAGUGCCGCAGUUAACACAAUAAGUAAUCCACCUGGGGAGUACGACCGCAAGGUUGAAACUCAAAGGAAUUGACGGGGGCCCGCACAAGCAGUGGAGUAUGUGGUUUAAUUCGACGCAACGCGAAGAACCUUACCAAGUCUUGACAUCCUGCGACGGUGCUAGAAAUAGUAUUUUCCUUCGGGACGCAGAGACAGGUGGUGCAUGGUUGUCGUCAGCUCGUGUCGUGAGAUGUUGGGUUAAGUCCCGCAACGAGCGCAACCCUUAUGGUCAGUUACUACGCAAGAGGACUCUGGCCAGACUGCCGUUGACAAAACGGAGGAAGGUGGGGAUGACGUCAAAUCAUCAUGCCCUUUAUGACUUGGGCUACACACGUACUACAAUGGCGUUAAACAAAGAGAAGCAAGACCGCGAGGUGGAACAAAACUCAGAAACAACGUCCCAGUUCGGACUGCAGGCUGCAACUCGCCUGCACGAAGUCGGAAUUGCUAGUAAUCGUGGAUCAGCAUGCCACGGUGAAUACGUUCCC
rnacentral:rRNA from 1 species